rnacentral:rRNA from 1 species
AACGAACGCUGGCGGCGUGCCUAACACAUGCAAGUCGAGCGGGAAAGUUCCCUUCGGGGAGCGAGUACAGCGGCGAACGGGUGAGUAACACGUAGGUAACCUACCCUGGAGAUCGGGAUAACCUGCCGAAAGGCGGGCUAAUACCGGAUAAGACCACGAGGGCUGCGGCCCUUGAAGGAAAAGAUGGCCUCUGCUUGCAAGCUAUCACUCUGGGAUGGGCCUGCGCGCCAUUAGCAGUUGGUGAGGUAACGGCUCACCAAGGCUGAGAUGGCUAGCUGGUCUGAGAGGAUGGCCAGCCACACUGGGACUGAGACACGGCCCAGACUCCUACGGGAGGCAGCAGUGGGAAUAUUGGACAAUGGGCGCAAGCCUGAUCCAGCGAUGCCGCGUGUGUGAAGAAGGCCUGCGGGUUGUAAGCACUUUCAGUAGGGAAG